CAGCAGCCACGGUAAUACGAGGGGCGCAAGCGUUAUUCGGAUUGAUUGGGUGUAAAGGGUGUGCAGAUGGCUUAUUAAGUCACUUGUUAAAUUCUUCGGCCUAACUGAAGGUCUGCAAGUGAUACUGAUGAGCUAGAGGGUGGAAGAGAGAAGUGGAAUUCUCGGAGUAGCGGUAAAAUGCGUAGAUCUCGAGAGGAACACCAAUGGCGAAGGCAGCUUCUUGGUCCAUUCCUGACGUUCAUACACGAAAGCGUGGGGAGCAAACGGGAUUAGAUACCCGUGUAGUCCCUGUCUCUUAUAC
rnacentral:rRNA from 1 species